AACCAAAGGAGCAUGCAGAUCAAUGCCUUCCCAAACCUCCGGAUAAGGUAGAGUUUAUUUUGCCUGAAUUCAGUACUAAAUUGCAGCUAGCCAUAGAAAAACAUGAAGUGGAGUUCAAAGUUCUGCCCAAUCAUCUCAAAAAUACAAACAUAAGGGCUAGAGGCACACCUCAUCUGAAAGGGGAGAGGCUAAUCAUGUUGCUUCAUGAGUACAUGGAAAAAAUAGGAUGGGCUAUGACAAAAUCAAAA
rnacentral:lncRNA from 1 species